rnacentral:rRNA from 1 species
CGUGUAGGCGGCCGAUCAAGUCCGGUGUGAAAGCCCGAGGCUCAGCUUCGGAAGUGCAUCGGAAACUAGCCGGCUCGAGCGCGAUAGAGGAGGGUGGAAUUCCUGGUGUAGCGGUGAAAUGCGUAGAUAUCAGGAGGAACACCGGCGGCGAAGGCGGCCCUCUGGAUCGUUGCUGACGCUGAGACGCGAAAGCGUGGGGAGCAAACAGGAUUAGAUACCCUGGUAGUCCACGCUGUAAACGAUGGGUACUAGGUGUUCGGGGUGUUGACCCCCUGAGUGCCGACGCUAACGCAUUAAGUACCCCGUCUGGGGACUACGGCCGCAAGGUUAAA